UACGUAGGGUGCGAGCGUUUGUCCGGAAUUAUUGGGCGUAAAGGGCUCGUAGGCGGUCUGUCACGUCGAAAGUGAAAACUCAGGGCUCAACCCUGAGCCUGCUUCCGAUACGGGCAGACUAGAGGUAUGCAGGGGGAGAAUGGAAUUCCUGGUGUAGCGGUGAAAUGCGCAGAUAUCUGGAGGAACACCGGUGGCGAAGGCGGCAUCCUGGACCGGUAUUGACGCUGAGGCGCGAAAGCCAGGGGAGCAAAGCGGG
rnacentral:rRNA from 1 species